rnacentral:rRNA from 1 species
AUUGAACGAUAGCGGCAGGCCUUACACAUGCAAGUCGAACGAGUGGCGGACGGGUGAGUAAUGUCUGGGAAACUGCCUGAUGGAGGGGGAUAACUACUGGAAACGGUAGCUAAUACCGCAUACCAUCGGAUGUGCCCAGAUGGGAUUAGCUAGUAGGUGGGGUAAAUGCUCACCUAGGAGACGAUCCCUAGCUGGUGUGAGAGGAUGACCAGCCUCACUGGACAUGAGACACGGUCCAGACUCCUACGGGAGGCAGCAGUGGGGAAUAUUGCACAAUGGGCGCAAGCCUGAUGCAGCCAUGCCGCGUGUAUGAAGAAGGCCUUCGGGUUGUAAAGUACUUUCAGCGGAGAGGCGUUACCCGCAGAAGAAGCACCGGCUAACUCCGUGCCAGCAGCCGCGGUAAUUC